UACGAAGGGAGCUAGCGUUGUUCGGAAUCACUGGGCGUAAAGCGCACGUAGGCGGAUGUGUCAGUCAGGGGUGAAAUCCCGGAGCUCAACUUCGGAACUGCCCUUGAUACAGCACGUCUUGAGUCCGGAAGAGGUGGGUGGAAUUCCUAGUGUAGAGGUGAAAUUCGUAGAUAUUCGGAAGAACACCAGUGGCGAAGGCGGCUCACUGGCCCGGUACUGACGCUGAGGUGACGAAAGGCGUGGGGAGCAAACAGG
rnacentral:rRNA from 1 species